UGAAGGUCAGGCUGAAGACCUUACCCGAUUAGCUGAGAGGUGGUGCAUGGCCGUCGUCAGUUCGUACUGUGAAGCAUCCUGUUAAGUCAGGCAACGAGCGAGACCCACGUCCACAGUUGCCAGCAUACCCUCCGGGGUGAUGGGUACACUGUGGAGACCGCCGCUGCUAAAGCGGAGGAAGGAGUGGGCAACGGUAGGUCAGUAUGCCCCGAAUCUCCCGGGCUACACGCGGGCUACAAUGGUUGGUACAAUGGGCAUCUACCCCGAAAGGGGAAGGAAAUCUCUUAAAGCCAAUCGUAGUUCGGAUUGAGGGCUGCAACUCGCCCUCAUGAAGCUGGAAUCCGCAGUAAUCGCGUUUCAACAGAACGCGGUGAAUACGUCCCUGCUCCUU
rnacentral:rRNA from 1 species